rnacentral:rRNA from 1 species
AUGGACAUCGGUUUGUACAAGCGUGCCAGAGCAACGAGGCACAAGACGGCGAUGCCCUUCUACCCCCGGUCGCCCGCGGCAGCGGCCCCUGCCGCACCGGUCCAGGCAGCGCCAUGGCCGCUGACGCCCGCUCCGCCGCAGGGGGUGAUCACUGUGCAGGUGAUGGCGCCUGGCAACAGCAAGCACUGCGACGGACCGGGAGGCGACGCUGACAUUGACCGCCGUGCCGCCUUGUACAUAUCGAGGGUGCAGGAGCGGCUCAGGCUCGAGCGCAUGCACGAGCGCUGA